UGGGGUGACUGCGUACCUUUUGUAUAAUGGGUCAGCGACUUAUAUUCUGUAGCAAGGUUAACCGAAUAGGGGAGCCGGAGGGAAACCGAGUCUUAAUUGGGCGUUAAGUUGCAGGGUAUAGACCCGAAACCCGGUGAUCUAGCCAUGGGCAGGUUGAAGGUUGGGUAACACUAACUGGAGGACCGAACCGACUAAUGUUGAAAAAUUAGCGGAUGACCUGUGGCUGGGGGUGAAAGGCCAAUCAAACCGGGAGAUAGCUGGUUCUCCCCGAAAGCUAUUUAGGUAGCGCCUCGUGAAUUCAUCUCCGGGGGUAGAGCACUGUUUCGGCUAGGGGGCCAUCCCGGCUUACCAACCCGAUGCAAACUGCGAAUACCGGAGAAUGUUAUCACGGGAGACACACGGCGGGUGCUAACGUCCGUCGUGAAGAGGGAAACAACCCAGACCGCCAGCUAAGGUCCCAAAGUCAUGGUUAAGUGGGAAACGAUGUGGGAAGGCCCAGACAGCCAGGAUGUUGGCUUAGAAGCAGCCAUCAUUUAAAGAAAGCGUAAUAGCUCACUGGUCGAGUCGGCCUGCGCGGAAGAUGUAACGGGGCUAAACCAU
rnacentral:rRNA from 2 species